UUGCCAUAUUUGUCCUGCCGGGCCCCACCAAUGUCACCCCUAGAGGUUCCGAAGAGCUCACCUUAGCCCAUGCGGGAUUAGGAAAAAGAGUGUUGGCUGUUUCAGAUCAAAGCAGACAUGAACAGAUUGUCAGACAGAUGGAGGAGGAGUUUUUGAAACUCAAACCACUUAAUGGAAGAUGGAUGUUCCACAAAGCAGCAGGUGGAAGCGGCCAGAGAAGGUUGUCUGUGAUACCCAUGGAUGCAGAGGGUUAUAGUGGCCACCAACUUCGAUCUGCAUCAAAUAAUGGCAAAAUAGUUCUAUUCUUGGUGCCCCUCCAGGAGGAAAUGGACACAGA